UUGUCUCCAGGGUGGAGACAAAAGGUUCGAUGAUGUAGUAGAAGAAAACGAAUGUCUUCAUAUACAUAUAGAGUCUUUGUGAAUUCUGAUGGUGAUGAUCUCUGCAACAUUACAUCAUCCGUAAGAGUAAAGAGUAAUCUGAGCAGAGAUAAACAGAGGUAUAUUAGCAGGUUAGUAAUAGUUGUCUUUAAUUUUAUCAAAAUACUUUGACUUUGUGUCGAAUUAUGAAAUCCCUAAUGGGUUUGUUUUGUAUUAUGUGUAGCAGAAUUCAUAACGACCACUGACUAGCCUCAGGAUACUUAAUUUCAC
rnacentral:lncRNA from 1 species